rnacentral:rRNA from 1 species
AAAGGAAUAGACGGGGGCCCGCACAAGCGGUGGAGCAUGUGGUUUAAUUCGAAGCUACGCGAAGAACCUUACCAGGCCUUGACAUCGCCCGGAAAGCCGUGGAAACACGGCCCUCCUUCGGGACCGGGUGACAGGUGGUGCAUGGUCGUCGUCAGCUCGUGUCGUGAGAUGUUGGGUUAAGUCCCGCAACGAGCGCAACCCUUGCCCUUAGUUGCCAGCACUUCGGGUGGGCACUCUAAGGGGACUGCCGGUGACAAACCGGAGGAAGGUGGGGAUGACGUCAGAUCAUCAUGCCCCUUAUGGUCUGGGCUACACACGUGCUACAAUGGCCGGUACAAACGGAAGCGAAGGGGCGACCCGGAGCGGAUCCGAAAAAGCCGGUCUCAGUUCGGAUUGCAGGCUGCAACUCGCCUGCAUGAAGGCGGAAUCGCUAGUAAUCGCAGGUCAGCAUACUGCGGUGAAUACGUUCCCGGGCCUUGUACACACCGCCCGU